CUUGUGCCACGGUGGCCCAAAUGUCAGUCAACCAGACAUGUCUUCUGAGAGUUCCCAGGAAUGUGGUGAAGAGCAACUGUAAGCGAUAAGAUUGUUCCCAGCGCUAAUAAAACUUUGGAGUUAAUUAACUGAGAAGAAGGUAAAAUGAAAUGUUGUUAUGAGGGCUAAAGUUGUUUUUCUACCUUUUUGAAAAUUAUUUUUUAUCUGUUGAAAUUAUAAUAUAAUUAUCAUCUCUCCUUCUUUUUGCUCCCCUCUCAGAAAUUAACAGCCUUGAGUUGCAGGUGGAAGGUGCAGAAGCCAAAUUAAAAACAGUCUUUUCAGGCUGAGCUCAGGAGCCUGAAUUUCCAUGCUGUAAGUGGCUGGGAUCCACUGGAGGAUUUUAAUUGUGUAAGUUGACAAGAUCAGAUUUGCUAUUCAGAAAGCACACCCUGGCACAGAUCGGUGGGUGGAAUAGAAAGUGGUUGCCCUGGAGACAGGCAGACCCAUUAGGAAGCUCUGACAAAGAUCCAGGAGAGAGAAAAUGAGGAUAGUGGUUGGAGGAAUGAGCAGAUUCAAAGACAUUUUAGAGGUGGAACGGAUGGUCGGGAGACGCUCAUUCAGUGUAAAUGCUGAAGGAAAGGAAGAACCAAGGAGCGCUGUGGUUUCCAGCUUGGAUUUCUAUAUGGAUAGUGAAUAAUUAAUGAAGAUGUGGCGGGCGGGCAUAAUGGGGACUUAAGAGGGAGGUAGUUGUAGAUGGACGUGAUCAAUAUACAUUUGUUUAAAUGUGUAUAACUUUCAAAGAGUAAGAGAAUUAUUAUUUUAAUAGAUCAAGGUAUAAAAUACAAAAAAAAGUCAAAUGGGGGGGGGGGUUUGCUAAUGAAUUCAUAUGUGACCUGUUGAAUUUGAUGUAUCUUUUGGACUUGUAGGUGAAGAAGUCACAUGUGGUGAAUAUAUUAUCAUCAGAAUGCGGAGCAAUGAAAUGUAAACAGAUAGGAAUCGUCACUAAAGCUCCAACUGCAGCCUCCGGGUGCCAUAGCUUUUGCACCAUCCAUUUGCACCAUCUCUGCAUUGCUCUCAAUCACUGCCACGAGUCUGGUGAUGCGCUAAGCUCGGGGCAGGAUCUCAAGGGCUUUGAGGAUGUCUGCAUCAUCUGUAUUGACCUGCUCCCCAGAUUAAUACCGAAGCACUGCAAUUUCUUGAGGAUUAUCCACCUAGGAGGAAAUGAUACGCUGGCCCAUCCAUAGUAGUCAAGGUUUCUUGGAAGAGAAGAAUGAGAUUGGAUCUGAGAAAAUGUGGCUGGUAAUGAACUCUACGAAGGGAUUUUUAUACUCUCUCUUUGGCAGUCCAUCCUGUGAAAUAAUAAUGAGGUUGGAGGAUGGCUGCUAACCAUCCCUUGCUUUUCCGUGCCAGGGAACCACCAUCUCAGAUGGUAGAAACCACUCAGAAGGAUCAACUGCUGCAGACGGGAAGAGGAGCAACCUCGUGAAUAAUUUCGUGACAGGAUAUUGCAGGAGGGACUUUGUCCAAAUGUGUGCAGGGUAGUUGGCUACAGCAACAAGGAUGACGAACACAGAUGAAUUGAUCAGGAUGUAACCAUUCAAAGUUGAGAGGAUUAGAGGACUUCUCCGAGGCGGCUCCAAUGGAUGCCAGCAGAGUUAAAGUGUCCAAUGGAGAGAAGAGAAGGCUUGGGAAAUCCAGAGUCCAUUCAUUCAUCGCCCUCCUCCUAGAACAACAAAAGCGAGCCCCAGUACUCAUCAGCAUGGACUCUGUGUGUAGUCAUCUCCCUUAGUUUCAGAGGUUCCUGCCUACAGCAAAACUUUAGAGGCUUAGAGUUUAACGGUCAUAGCUUAUUCACCUCCAACUGUGUCCUAGUUCAAGAGAAACACUUCACAUAUCUGUAGGGAGAAGAUAAUGAACCAAGGAUACAAGUUAAGCCUUAGCUAAGACCUGUUACUCAGGAAAAAGAGCUAAAACAAGCUGCUUAGAUCAGCACCAAUGUUAGGUAGAGAGAAAAAGAAACGCUGCAUAGAAAUCUUAAGGUUCACAUGUGCUCCAGGCUGGGUCAACAACUUCUAAUUUCCUUUGCCAACCAACCAUGUCUUUGACAGAAAUGAUCCUUCUACAUAGACCACAGAGGGAUCCAAUGGAGGUUUCUCUUCCUGAAUUUGGGGAUUCAGAAUCUGGACAAAUUCCUUUCCAUCAAAGUCCAGUACAAAAGUAGUACCAUGGCAGUCCCUGCAGGGACUUGCAUCACUUUCCCUAGAGAUAUCAAGAGAAUUUUUAGUGAUAAGAAUAUGGCACAAAAUGAGAAAUCCCAUUACUCUUAAGAGAAUCUCUUCCUUCUCAAAGGCACCUGAUUAAUACAUAUAGUACUAUCAGUAAGGCUGAGCAAAAGGAUACUGAUGUUCUGAGUGAUCUUAAAUCAUGUAAUAAUAACUUUAUUCGUAGUAUAGAACGGAAUAUUCCCUAUUAGUAAUCAGUUCCUUUGCCAGAUCCUCAUAGUAUCUUAGUCACUGUUUUAUUGUUAUGAAGAGAAACUUUGACCACAGCACCUCUUAGAAAAAAGGAAGCAUUUAAUCGGGACUUCCUUAUGGUUUCACAGUUUUACAUAAUUGUCAACAUGGCAGAGAACAUGGGGGCACGCAAACAGACAUGGUGCUGGAGAAGUAGCGGAGAAUAUACAGCAACAUAUAGAUACAAAAUAUAGAUACAUAUAGAUACAGAAUAUAGAUACAUAUAGCUACAUAUAGAUCUGCAGGCAGCAGGAAGAGACUGGGACAAGGCCAUACCUUCUAAGGCUUCUCAAGGAGUGUCACUUCCUGAUGACCAAGCAUUCAAGUGUAUGAGCUUAUGGGAGCCAUUCUUAUUCAAGCCACCACACAUAGCAAAGCUGAUAAUGUCAUUUUCUGAAUUAACCAGGCCAAGGCACACUUCUUAGCAACAUGGUUACCUGGUAACCAGAGAUUUUUCUCAUCCCAUGAGAGAUUUCAUUCAAGAACUGAUCUUCUAACAGUUUUGUCUCUCUUAAGAAUGCUACAGACAGGGUGGGGUGAGGCACAGUGCUGAAGCCCCUCAAGUUUCCCAGAGGGAUGAGUCCAUGAAAGACGAAAAUCAUGUGGUCACACUGAGCAUAGACUUCACAAGCAUCAUGCUAGGAUUCCAUUUUCUUUCUCAACACAAUGAUAAAUUCUUCUUCCAAUAAGCAGAAAAUCAUCCAAUGGGAAAAAAAAAUAAAACCAACUAACUUGCAGUCCUUUGGAACAGUUUCAUAGCUUACAGGAUGGCUUCAUAACCCUGGGGACACUCGUUUUGACAUGAAAACUUCCUUCAGAACAGGAAUUCUGAUCCAACAUGUGCUCAGACAUCAUUUCAGUCACUUGCAAAUGAACAAGAAAGCUCAUGUAAAUGAGGAGGCUCAACUCCCAGGCCUGGUGAGUGGGUAAGACAUUCCUCUGCUGGGUUUUGAAGGCUGUCUGAAACCAUCGGCUGACAUCCUUCUCUGUGUGCAUGUAUGCACUAUCUACGGGAAAUUCAGCUCCAACCGGUUGUCUCUACAGCUCCCUUAAUCUUCUCCUCCCUCCUCCUGGCAUUGGCAUGUGUCCCAGGACUGCAGCGAGGAGUGCUUACCAACAAAGGUGCUGGCAUCUGCAUUUGUUUCACAGCCACAAACCUAAUGGUUCCAUGAUUUUGGCGAGCAAAACUGUCAAAAUGCCUGAGCACAAGAGAUCACAAGAUGAGCCAAGGCAUAGUGUGCAUGCCUUCCUUCCCAGCACUCGGAAGGCAGAGGCAAGGGGAUCUCUGUGGGUUCAAGGCCAGCCUGAAUCACAAGGUGUACUGGGGAUUCUUUUUUAUUGUUUUCCUUUUGCUAUCUGGAAUAGUUUGAGAUUGUAUUUGAUCAGUGCAUUAAACAAC
rnacentral:lncRNA from 1 species